GACAGAGGGUGCAAACGUUGCUCGGAAUCACUGGGCGUAAGGGGCGCGUAGGCGGGGAUGUAAGUCGGGCGUGAAAUCCCCAGGCUCAACCUGGGAACUGCACUCGAAACUGCGUUUCUUGAGUAUCGGAGAGGAAAGCGGAAUUCCUGGUGUAGAGGUGAAAUUCGUAGAUAUCAGGAGGAACACCAGUGGCGAAGGCGGCUUUCUGGACGGUAACUGACGCUGAGGCGCGAAAGCGUGGGGAGCAAACAGG
rnacentral:rRNA from 1 species